GCGCCGGAUAAAAUGUGCACCGCCGAGAUCGCGAGCGAGAUAAUGGCGGUGGCUUAGCGUCCACCACGCACCACAUCGUUCAGUAUCGGCUCAUCGAAGCAGACAUCGACCGCAGGGAUACCACACUUGAAUGUCAGGGCAUUGCUAUCAGGUCAGGCGAUGUCAAGCUCGAAAUAUUAACGUUUACAUACACCCUGUCAGUAGCUACCCGGCAUGAUAUCACCCUGGAAUAGGUGCCCUCCUCAGAGGUGAAAACCGUAUGGCAGUUGGUGACUUUAAUGCGCUCCAUGAUCUUUGGCAUUCAUGCCUGUCAAACUAUCGUAGGGGAAAAGACUUGGCUGAGCAGAUAGACGAUUCGAAUUUCUGCACAAUGAACGAAGACGCACCCACCAGGAUUAUGGCCAGCUGCUGCAGUUCGCCAGACAUAACAAUAGGCAGCGCUGGUCUGAUAAACAGCGCAUCAUGGCGACCUGUGCUGACCUUGGCAUCAGAUCAUCUGCCCAUAGUCAUCUCGAUCGAUAAACCAGCCGACCUUGGUCCCGCGGAACACCGGACCUGUACCAACUUUACAAAA